rnacentral:rRNA from 1 species
GACGAACGCUGGCGGCGUGCUUAACACAUGCAAGUCGAACGCUGAAGCUUGGUGCUUGCACGGGGUGGAUGAGUGGCGAACGGGUGAGUAAUACGUGAGUAACCUGCCGUGGACUCUGGGAGAAGCCGGUGAAAUUGGGUCUAAUACUGGAUACGACAGGUCACCGCAUGGUGUUGUGUGGAAAGGGUUUUGCUGGUUUUGGAUGGGCUCACGGCUUAUCAGCUUGUUGGUGGGGUAAUGGCUCACCAAGGCGACGACGGUUAGCCGGCCUGAGAGGGUGAACGGCCACACUGGGACUGAGACACGGCCCAGACUCCUACGGGAGGCAGCAGUGGGGAAUAUUGCACAAUGGGCGAAAGCCUGAUGCAGCGACGCCGCGUGAGGGAUGACGGCCUUCGGGUUGUAAACCUCUUUCAGCACGGAAGAAGCGAAAGUGACGGUACGUGAAGAAGAAGCGCCGGCUAACUACGUG